AGCAGCAGCCACGGUAAUACAGAGGGUGCGAGCGUUAAUCGGAUUUACUGGGCGUAAAGCGUGCGUAGGCGGCUAAUUGAGUCGGAUGUGAAAUCCCCGAGCUUAACUUGGGAAUUGCAUUCGAUACUGGUUAGCUAGAGUGUGGGAGAGGAUGGUAGAAUUCCAGGUGUAGCGGUGAAAUGCGUAGAGAUCUGGAGGAAUACCGAUGGCGAAGGCAGCCAUCUGGCCUAACACUGACGCUGAGGUACGAAAGCAUGGGGAGCAAACAGGAUUAGAUACCCCCGUAGUCCCUGUCUCUUAUAC
rnacentral:rRNA from 1 species